GAGGUGGCUCCUACGGGUUCAAGAGGUGGCUCCCACCAAACCCGUUGGUGUAGCACUUUGUCCCGCAUAGCACUUAGUUCUCACACUUCCGGCUGGUAUUCGGCUCUGAUACCAAUUGCAACGACUCGAUCCGCUAGCAACAAUAACUCGUUGGGCCCAAACCACCGGCCCAAAAUGCUUAAGCCCAGUUAUUAUUACUAGUGUCUAAGUAACUUAAUCCCCCGUUAAGGCCCUGACGUCAUCGUCAGUCCAAUCACACACAGCUCAAUAUCACCAGGCUAUGUGAGACUCGUCUUGCUAGCCCCCGUCAUCCAGACCUUGGCUCAGCUGAGACUCGCCACACAUAUCCAGUUGGUGAACCGGCUUUAAUACCAAAUGUAACGACCCAGCCCACUAGCAACAAUAACUCGUUGGGUCCAAACCACCAGCCCAAAAUGCUUA
rnacentral:lncRNA from 1 species